AGCAUUAUUCAAACUUUGGUUUUAGUCUCAAUCGCUAUGUUCUUCCUUCAUUAAAACUCUGAGGGGGUGAACUUUUUCGUAACUACCUCUAUAUCGCUAUAAUAAGCGAUAUAGUGGUUUGAAAUUUACGUGACGUCACAGUGAGCUGCGCCCUCCCUUCUCCUUACUUUUUCCUGUGUCAUUGAACACAACUCGAGACUUUCGAAACCUCCCACUCAGUAUCGGAUGAAUAACACAGUUUGAUGUUUUGCUUGUUCUGCUGACGGACACGUUAAAGACGUCUGCGCUCCCGUUUCUGUGCAUGUCCAGCAUGAGACAACUGGAAUUCAACCACAUUGAACACCGACUUCAGGGACAGACGAGCCUGAAGGACACAGCUGUGAUGACCAUGUUCUGUCUCUUAUGGCAAAGCAGAAAUAUAAAACACUGGGUUCUUAUCUAAAGUGUAUCAAAUCAGAUCUCCACCAUGUUGCUGCUGAGGACAUCAGGUGCUGCAGUUCUUCAUCUAUGAAGAGAAAAAACGCACUGUUAAAGAAUGUUUUGUGUUGUGUAUAAAGCACAACAGAUUUCUGAUAGAACUGUUGUACUGUGGUCUUGGUUUAUAUCCUCAUGGUGAAAUGUACAUAUUUUAAGUCCCUUCUGAUAAAAGUGCUGAAAGAAAUACAACAUUGUACAAAUACAUAAAAUGUCUUUCUACCUCAUCAGUACUAUUCAAGGUGAUAAUCUCCCACAGACCUAUUGAUAACAGUCCAAAUCAAGUCUUUCCACUUCUCUCAGUGUGAAAACAUAAUUCUAUAAUUAAUUUGAGAACUGUUUACAACACUGAUGUGUGGAGAUUAAAAUCAUACCUAAACUGUCUAAUUCACUGUAAAACUCCAUGACAUUCGCAGGCCAUCUGUAGUUAAGGGAGCAACGCAUGGAAUGAUGUGUAGAUUACUAGUUUGAUGAUGCAUGAGGAGAGGCGGUGGUCGAGUGGCAGAAACUUGGACUAUGGGCAGAGAAGGUCUCUGGUUCGUCUUUGGUUCGACUCCAUGGAGAGACAACAAAAGUCGAACCUGGAUUGAUCUGUCCAAAAAUCCAAGAGUCUCCCUACCCUCUCUAGUGCCCAU